rnacentral:rRNA from 1 species
UCUUGCAAACUAAAGAUGGCGACCGGCGCACGGGUGAGUAACACGUAUCCAACCUGCCGAUAACUCGGGGAUAGCCUUUCGAAAGAAAGAUUAAUAUCCGAUAGUAUAUUAAACCGCAUGGUUUUACUAUUAAAGAAUUUCGGUUAUCGAUGGGGAUGCGUUCCAUUAGUUUGUUGGCGGGGUAACGGCCCACCAAGACUACGAUGGAUAGGGGUUCUGAGAGGAAGGUCCCCCACAUUGGAACUGAGACACGGUCCAA